rnacentral:rRNA from 1 species
CCUACGGGAGGCAGCAGUAGGGAAUCUUUCACAAUGGGCGAAAGCCUGAUGGAGCAACGCCGCGUGCAGGAUGAAGGCCUUCGGGUUGUAAACUGCUUUUAUAUGCGAGAAAUAUGAUGGUAACUUAUGAAUAAGGAUCGGCUAACUACGUGCCAGCAGCCGCGGUCAUACGUAGGAUCCGAGCAUUAUCCGGAGUGACUGGGUGUAAAGAGUUGCGUAGGUGGCAUAAUAAGUAGCUAGUGAAAUCUGGUGGCUCAACCAUUCAGACUAUUAGCUAAACUGUUAAGCUCGAGACCGUUAGGGGUAACUGGAAUUUCUAGUGUAGGAGUGAAAUCCGUAGAUAUUAGAAGGAACACCAAUAGCGUAGGCAGGUUGCUGGGACGGUUCUGACACUAAGGUACGAAAGCGUAGGGAGCAAACGGGAUUAGAUACCCUUGUAGUC